GACGAACGCUGGCGGCGUGCUUAACACAUGCAAGUCGAACGGUGAAGCGCCUUCCUUUUUGGUGGGUGUGGAUGAGUGGCGAACGGGUGAGUAACACGUCAGUAACCUGCCCCCUUCUUCUGGAUAACCGCAUGAAAGUUUGGCUAAUACGGGAUAUUCUGGGUCUGUCUCAUGCUGGGUCUGGGAAAGUUGUUGUUUCGGUGGGGGCUGGGCUCGCGGCCUAUCAGCUUGUUGGUGGGGUGAUUGCCUACCAAGGCGGUGACGGGUAGCCGGCCUGAGAGGGUGGAAGGGCACAAUGGGAAGGAGACACGGCACAGAAUGGUACGGGAGGCAGCAGUGGGGAAUAUUGGACGAUGGGGGCAAGACUGAUGCAGAGACGCCGCGAGAGGGAUGGAGGAAUUCGGGUCGUGAAACUCUGUCGCUAGUGAAGCAGGGCUGCCUCGUUUGUGAGUGGGUUGACGGUAGCUGGAUAAGAAGCGCCGGCUAACUACGUG
rnacentral:rRNA from 1 species